AUGAACGCUGGCGGCGUGCCUAAUCCAUGCCAGUCGAGCGAACGGACGAGAAGCUUGCUUCUCUGAUGUUAGCGGCGGACGGGUGAGUAACACGUGGAUAACCUACCUAUAAGACUGGGAUAACUUCGGGAAACCGGAGCUAAUACCGGAUAAUAUUUUGAACCGCAUGGUUCAAAAGUGAAAGACGGUCUUGCUGUCACUUAUAGAUGGAUCCGCGCUGCAUUAGCUAGUUGGUAAGGUAACGGCUUACCAAGGCAACGAUGCAUAGCCGACCUGAGAGGGUGAUCAGCCACACUGGAACUGAGACACGGUCCAGACUCCUACGGGAGGCAGCAGUAGGGAAUCUUCCGCAAUGGGCGAAAGCCUGACGGAGCAACGCCGCGUGAGUGAUGAAGGUCUUCGGAUCGUAAAACUCUGUUAUUAGGGAAGAACAUAUGUGUAAGUAACUGUGCACAUCUUGACGGUACCUAAUCAGAAAGCCACGGCUAACUACGUG
rnacentral:rRNA from 1 species